GGUGAAGCACCAUAAGAGCGUAUGGGGGAUGCCUAGACAUAAUAUGGCUAUGAAGGACGUCGGAGCCUGCGAAAAGCCUCGGGGAGGUGGCAACCAACCUUUGAUCCGGGGAUGUCCGAAUGGGAAAACCCUCUUGAGUUCAUGCUCAAGAAUUGUGCACUGAAUACAUAGGUGUACAAAGCGAACUCGGCGAAUUGAAACAUCUUAGUAGCCGAAGGAAAAGAAAAGAAGAAGCCUUUAUGAAAAUUCUGGCGCCCACUCCUCGGAGUGGUCCAGAGCUUUCGUAGAGGUGCAUUCCCGGAGUAGCGGCGAGCGAAACGGGAACAGCCCAAACCAGUAGUGCUGCUUCGAGCAAUCGAAGCACGGGCCCUAAGCCUUUAUGCACCAUUGGGGUUGUGAGUGGUUACGUCCAAAGCUUAGGGCUUUGGGAGCGAAGUAGCAGUUGUGACACUCUCCCCGGCUAUGGGGAGAGAUUCAUGACUCAUUGCUAGGUGAAGCUGCUGGAACGCAGCGCCAAAGACGGUGACAGCCCGGUAAUCGAAAGCGGUGUUAAAGCUUUGCUGGUAAUUUUCUCAAGUACCACGGGACUCGUGAAAUCCUGUGGGAAUCCGGGACGACUAUUGUCCCAAGGCUAAAUACAUAUUGUGCUCGAUAGUGUACCAGUACCGUGAGGGAAAGGUGAAAAGCACCCCGGUGAGGGGAAUGAAAUAGUAUCUGAAACCAUACGCUUACAAGCAGUCGGAGCUCUGAUUUAUCAGGGUGACGGCGUGCCUAUUGAAGAAUGACCCAACGAGUUUGUUUAAAGAGUCGGUUAAGCCCGUGAGGGCAGAGCCACAGUGAAAGCGAGCGUGCAAGCGCGCCCUAAUGAUUCUUUGGACAAGACCCGAAGCCAAGUGAGCUACCCAUGGCCAGGAUGAAGGUAGGGUAAAACCUACUGGAGGUCCGAACCCACUUGUCGUGCAACGCAAGGGGAUGAGCUGUGGGUAGGGGAGAAAUUCCAAUCGAACUUGGCGAUAGCUGGUUCUCCUCGAAAUAGCUUUAGGGCUAGCCUCGCAUGCAUCGGAACGGCGGUAGAGCACUGAAUGGGUGCGGAUGGCGCGAGCCUACUUCACCCAACCAAACUCCGAAUGCCGUUGCGUCGCCAUGCGGGAGUCAGACCGUGGGGGCUAAGCUCCACCGGCCAAAAGGGAAACAGCCCAGAUCUCAAUCUAAGGUCCCAAAGUCUCUGCUAAGUGCAAAGGAAGUGUGAUAACUGAGACAACUAGGAGGUUGGCUUAGAAGCAGCCAUCCUUUAAAGAUAGCGUAACAGCUCACUAGUCAAGUCGUUUCGCGCCGAUAAUGUACGGGACUAAGUAGAGCACCGAAGAUGAGGACUCUACCCAUUAGGGUAGAGUGGUAGAGGAGCGUUCCUGCAGCGAUGAAGUCGUUUCGUAAGAAACGGUGGAGUGGCAGGAAGUGAGAAUGUUGGGAUAAGUAGCAAAAAGGCGGGUGAGAACCCCGCCCACCGAAAAUCCAAGGUUUCCUGGGCAACGCAAAUCGACCCAGGGUGAGUCGGGCCUAAGGCGAGGCCGAAAGGCGUAGUCGAUGGACAGCAGGUCAAGAUUCCUGCACCACUGUAGGAUAGGCGAUUGCCGACGCAUCACAAAGAUUCGUGCGUAUUCUGGUUACAUGCGUGCCUUACCGUCUUCGGAUGGUUGGGUAGAGAGGAUCCCGCAAGGGUGAGCCAAUACGAAUUAGAGUGGUGUCAAGAAAAAGCAAUCUACGUUUCCUACGGUGCCCGUACCGUAAACCGACACAGGUGGAUGGCUCCGGAAAGGAGUAAGGUGUACGAGAGAACCCUCGUUUAGGAACUCGGCAAAAAAGCGGCCGUAACUUCGGUAUAUGGCCUGCCCGCCGCAAGGCGGGCCGCAGCGAAAGACAUCAAGCGACUGUUUACCAAAAACAUAGGUCCCUGCGAAACCGAAAGGUGAUGUAUAGGGGCUGAUGCCUGGCCAGUGUCAGAACGUUAAGGGGAGGUGUGCAAGCACUGAUCCGAAGCGCUGAUGAACGCCGGCGGUAACUAUAACCGUCCUAAGGUAGCGAAAUUCCUUGUCGGGUAAGUUCCGACCUGCACGAAUGGCAUAACGAUUUGAUGACUGUCUCAACGAGGGACUCGGCGAAAUUACAAGACCUGUGAAGAUGCGGGUUACCCGUGGUUAGACGAAAAGACCCCGUGAAGCUUUACUACAACUUGGCAUUGCACUAGGGUUACUAGUGUUUAGCAUACGUGGGAGACGUUGAAGUACCGACGCUAGUCGGUAUGGAGUCGCCAGUGAAAUACCACGCUCUGAUAGCCUUAGCGCUCACCAGCGGCCGUGAAUCCGGCUGCAGGGACAGUGUCUGGUGGGUAGUUUAACUGGGGCGGUUGCCUCCUAAAAUGUAACGGAGGCGUCUACAAAGGUUGGCUAAGCUCGGAUGGAAAUCGAGCAUGUCGUGUAAAGGCACAAGCCAGCUUUACUGCAAGGAGUACAUUCCGCGCAGUUGCGAAAGCAGAGCUUAGUGAUCCGACCGUAUCUGGUAUUCGCCCAAUCCCGUUAUCCGCGGGAUGAGGUGAAUACCCUCGUAAUAGGACGGCGGAAGCUCAUCGGAUAAAAGUUACUCCGGGGAUAACAGGCUGAUCACUUCCAAGCGUCCACAGCGACGAAGUGGUUUGGCACCUCGAUGUCGGCUCAUCGCAUCCUGGGGGUGGAGAAGCUCCCAAGGGUUUGGCUGUUCGCCAAUUAAAGCGGUACGCGAGCUGGGUUCAGAACGUCGUGAGACAGUUCGGUCUCCUAUCUACCACGGGCGUGAGAAAUUUGAGAGGGCCCUUCCCUAGUACGAGAGGACCGGGAAGGACGAACCUCUGGUGUGCGAGUUGUUCUACCAAGAGCAUUGCUCGGUAGCCAAGUUCGGGCGGGAUAAACGCUGAAAGCAUCUAAGCGUGAAACCUUCCUCAAGAUUAGAUUUCUGUAUGAGCCCCCUGGGAGAUGACCAGGUUGAUAGGCGGCAGGUGGAAGUCCAGCAAUGGAUUGAGCCGAGCCGUACUAAUCGGGCCAGAGGCUUCACCGUA
rnacentral:rRNA from 1 species